CUUUUCCUUCGCUCCUCAAAAACCGAAUCCCUCUUCCUCCCACGCAUCUUCUCCCUCCCAGAUCCAAAUUCCCCAAACCUUAUGCUCUCACUCCCUCCCUCCGCCGCCGGUGCACCCUCACUCGCUCCCUACGCUGCCGGCCGCUAGCAGCCCGCACGGUUGUGGCCCUCUCUCAUUCAUCCCCGGAUACCGACCCCAACCCGGCCCGAGGUCCAAUGGAGCCACACACUGAGCCCGCUCGCCCGCCGCGACCCCGACCCCCUUCUACCUCUCCUCCUCCACUCGUCGCCACCGCCCCCUUCCCCCACUAGCGCUUCCCCGCUCCGCCGUCGGUACCAUGUCCCCCGCUGUCAGUUUGACUCGAUCCACGCGGCCCCGACCCGUCAAGCCGUACCGAAGAAUGAAGAGGGAUUUCCUGAGGCCCACGUGGCCCGACCGCAACCGGGGUCCGCGACGAAGAUGCUCGCGCGCCGGCCAUUGCCCACGCCAUGGAAUUCUCGCGACGCCACUCAGACUUUGGUAAUCUUUCUAAGGCCCAUCUUUCAUUUUUCUCUUCUCUCCUUCCCAUCCCUUCGUUGAUUUGAUUUCUGUUUGUUCGAUGGGGCAGGUGGAUGUGUAUGGUCGCGGGAGACGCCUCGCAUCCAACACCAGCUACUGAGAACCCUGUUGCAAGACAGUAUGACGCCUCCCUUCUUUAGUGAUUUUGGCAUAGGUUGUUCCUUUCCUUUGCUCUCAUGCUCCCUCUGUGUGUGCGUGCAAAUUUCUCCCGUGCGUUUUGGAGUUGUGAGUGUGUCAACUGUAUCUGUAGCUAACAAUCUCUUCCUUGCUGGUAUUCUUCAGGCCAUGAGCAACUCUGCCCUAUUAAAUCUGCUAACUUUGUAACCAAUGGUCAUACUUUUAUGCUAGUGCCAUUGGAUUAGUACUAUCAUGUCACGUGUGGUCUAAUGCAAAAGGAAAUUUGAAAUUGUACAUCAAUCAACAAGGGAAAUCAAUUAGCAAAGAUGAAGUUCUAGCAGUAUAGGAGUUCAUAUUUGGAUUUGUAGAGAAAUACCUCGCAUGAAGGCACUCAUUUCUUCUUAUUUAUUUUGAUCCUUUGGUCAGAUGAAUACGGUUCUAGAAAUUUACAUGCACAUACAUCAAGUGGAAGUAAAAACAAUCUAUUGAUUAUGUUGAAAAGUAAUUAUUCUUUGUAGCUAGCUUGUGAGACUUGGGGUACUGGUUGGUGCUCUAAUUCACAACAAUCAGUGCAGGUUAAAUUCUUUUUGGAGGAAUCAGGUGAACUAGCUAUUAAGUCGAGUUUGCCUUACACAGGUUUGGAGGGGUCUGUCGCUGGGGUUGGUUCUUUGCUUCAUCGUUGAGGUUAAGGUAAGUCAAUUUUAUUUGUUGCUUGCACUCAUACAUGUUAACUAGAUACAUGUGUUUAUCAAAUUUCUUGAUUUGGUUCUACAAAUUAUUUCCAAGCAUGGUAUGAUUAUUAUUUUUACUUUUAUCACAUUUUUUGCCAAAGCUAGGAAAGAUUGUUACCUAACUUACCUUAUGUUUCAAGCAUCAGCUAUGUGGGGCUGACAACCGGAACACUAGUGGGCAAUGAUCACUACGAACACUUAUUUGAAGAGAAAGAAGAGAUGCUCUACUGUGGCCACCAGGAGAGCAGAAAAGCAACCGCCAAGCUCCAGGAGAUAGGGGAUUAGCCCCACCUGCUAGUGAAGAACACACACAUGCAAAUGCCAUCUCUAAGUAUGUCAACAUCCUGCAUUCUCUGCUUCUCUGCUUCCCAUUUCACAAUUUGGUCCAUCUACAUACCAAAGUUUAACAAAUUGUAGUAUCCCAAAUGUAUCUAUUGCUGCCACUAAAGAAUAAACAAAGAGAGCUGAUAUUGUACUCACAUGGAUAGAAAACACUAGUAACGUGUAUCUCUAAUACUUAGCUAUAUGGUACCAGUUCUCUAUAAAAAGAAUUUGCAUGACCACAUAACUCUUUAAUGUGUUCAGGAAACAACAAUUACAUUGUAAAUUAUGUCUUCUAUGUCUCAUAUACUUUCCAACUUACAUAUCUAUGAUGGUGGAAAUACAACAUUUGUUUAUGUUUUUGUUGAUAAGAAAACAUGAGAAUAUAUCAUUUCUUCGUCAUUAUUGUCGAAAGGUAGCUAGUACUUGGCUUUCUCUAGUUGUAACUUGAUGAGUGUAGCAGUCAACACAGCUACAACUACAACGUUGUUUAUAUUUUUUGUUCUCCACCUCGACAUGCAUUAUUCAUUUUCAGAGCAUAACAUGAACCUUCUAGUGCACAACAUUUUUUCACCCUGUGAUAUAAAUCACGUGAAGAUAGUCAUGAAAUGGUUCAAUCAUCCAAUUAUUUCUCAAAACUUGGCCUCGCGUCUACUAGUCAACUUUGGUUAUUCUUAGUGUGACACUUCUAUAAGGAUGUCAAGUUUACAGGCCUGCAAAUUAAAUUUCUUCACCUAAAAGUUAGUUGACUGUAUAUUAAUUCGGUUUCUAUGUUUCAUGCAUGAUGCUCUUUACUGUCAUGUCGAACAGGUAGUACAAUAUUACUUGGUGGCAAAGAUAUUUCAUCAGCUUGUAUGUAUAUUAAUUGUAUGCUUUUUUGUCUUUCCAGGUUCCAGUCAGGUUGUGUAGGAAACACAAAGAGAACCAAGAAGGAACCAUGAUGCUGUCAGUUUGGGUCAGCUAGAUAUCUUCUAUGAUGGAGAAAAAACAAUGCAUCUUGUUGCUAUCAUUUUGUAAAAGAUAUCUUGUGUAAUGGAGCACGGAUUGAAUGGUCGGACAUGUAUCUAUCAUUUUUUAAAUCUAUCGGGUGUUUCGAUCACUCUGACAAAUAUUUCCUCUUAUUUAGUUACAUUUAUUAUGGG
rnacentral:lncRNA from 1 species